CCCACGAACAGAGCGGAACCGAAGGUGUACCUGGGCAGGGAGACGACGGCAGUCAGUGCGGCUGACCCAGGUAUUUGCUGAGCUCCUACCAUGCACCCAGCACUGCCUUGACAUUGAGACAUAGCACAUUUGGGAGUGGGGAGCCCAGGCUCCUUUUGUACCUGAGACAAUGAACAUGAUCCCAGAGGUCAGCGUCAUUUUGGCUUUGGCAGAGUCCUCCAUGCUGCCCAUGCGGAUACACUUGAGGGCGAAGAUGGACACCAGGAGGCCGAUGACACCCACGAUGAUGCCCACAAUCAUCAGGGCUCGCACCGCCUGCAGCAUGGCUGCGGGACAAGGGGCAAGAUGUAAGCACACAGAUGAGGCCACAUUCACAUGACUGAUUAGGCGCUGGUCUAAUAAAACAAAGUGGUCACAACUGACUAGCACUAAAUGGUUGGGAUAAAGUAAAUGCAUAAACUGUGAACCUUGUCAUUGUCAAGGGAUAUGGAAUCACAGGGGAAUGCAAAACACAUCUCUAACAGUCCUCUAAUUGUUAAAGGCCCAGAGGACAUACACACAGGUAUUUAUAGGGUGAAAAAUUAUGGCUGGUUGGAUC